GAAAUGAUUUUGAAUAUUUUUGGGAAGGUCAGUGGGAUCAAACAAUCUAUUCGAAUAAAGUUGCGAUUUCCAUUUAUUUCUGCAGUUUUUUUAGAUUUCGAUUUUCUACUACCUGAUACGUAAUAUGUUAACCUAUAUAUAGUGGUCAGAUCGGACUACUUAUAAGAAAACGCGCGGAGGCUAGCAGUUACUCUAAUCAUCGCCAGGCAUACAAUUUAAUCUGAAUAAUGGUAGUCGUAAAACUGAGCUUUUUUAUAAUUGUGACAUCUUCGUAUUUUAUGAGAUCUUCUGGAGGUAAGUAACUUUAAUGUUUUUCAGUGAGUAAAUCAGUAUUUAAAUAGCUUUAAAUUAUAAUUUUAUUUAUUAAAAUUAGUAAGUGCGUAGAUAGCAACUUAGAGACAUAAAAGUUCUAAAGUUAGAACUACUUGAAAUUUUUCUUUCAUGUUGUUCCAAAAUAAAAUUCGACCAUUCUUUCAAGUGCAGAUUU